UACAGAGGUCUCAAGCGUUUGUUCGGAUUCAUUGGGCGUAAAGGGUGCGUAGGCGGCGCGGUAAGUCGGGUGUGAAAUCUCGGAGCUUAACUCCGAAACUGCAUUCGAUACUGCCGUGCUUGAGGACUGGAGAGGAGACUGGAAUUUACGGUGUAGCGGUGAAAUGCGUAGAUAUCGUAAGGAAGACCAGUGGCGAAGGCGGGUCUCUGGACAGUUCCUGACGCUGAGGCACGAAGGCCAGGGGGAGCAAAACGGGG
rnacentral:rRNA from 1 species